rnacentral:tRNA from 1 species
GUCUCCCUGUAGCUCAGUGGUUAGAGCAUUCGACCGGUGUGCGGAAGGUCCUGGGUUCGACUCCCAUCGGGGACU